GACGAACGCUGGCGGCGUGCUUAACACAUGCAAGUCGAACGGAAAGGCCCUGCUUGUGUGGGGUGCUCGAGUGGCGAACGGGUGAGUAACACGUGAGUAACCUGCCCUGGACUUUGUGAUAACUUCAGGAAACUGGUGCUAAUACCGGAUAGGAGCUCCUGCUGCAGGGUGGGGUUUGGAAAGUUUCGGCGGUUGGGGGUGGACGCGCGGCUUAUCAGCUUGUUGGUGGGGUAGUGGCUUACCAAGGCUUUGACGGGUGGCCGGCCUGAGAGGGUGACCGGCCACAUUGGGACUGAGAUACGGCCCAGACUCCUACGGGAGGCAGCAGUGGGGAAUAUUGCACAAUGGGCGGAAGCCUGAUGAAGCAACGCCGCGUGCGGGAUGACGGCUUUCGGGUUGUAAACCGCUUUCGCCUGUGACGAAGCGUGAGUGACGGUAAUGGGUAAAGAAGCACCGGCUAACUACGUG
rnacentral:rRNA from 1 species